CAGAUCGGGCUACGUGAUUCAUCUCCUGUUGUGCUGACACACACAUGCAGUUCAUGUGUUGCAGGCACUGCCCUAUGCAACCACAUAGUGGCUUUGCUUUUUCAAACUGCACAUUUCUCUCAGCUCAGUGUGCCAGUAGUUCCUCCUGUGCACAGCUGUACUGAAACUGAACAGCGCUGGCACAAACCUCGGACAAUUGGUGUAAAGCCAGGACCAAUCAACAACAUGAUCACCUGUGCCAAAUCAAAAGUCUCAAGGCGUAGUUAGGAGUGGACUCUACAGGGGCAUGGUGGGCCCUUUACCGGAUCCAUGCAUGUUUAGAGUGGCAGAGGCUUAUGAAAAAUUCAGCCUUGAAGACAAGCCGCUGGUGACCACCAUGGGCAUGGAACUCAACAAGCCAGCUGUGCAGUGUGCAUUUGGUAUGGUGCAGGAGGGCAGUGUUCUGUCAUAUCAGCAGCCUGUUUUACCAUCACGCUGC